AACGAACGCUGGCGGCAGGCCUAACACAUGCAAGUCGAGCGGACCCUUCGGGGUUAGCGGCGGACGGGUGAGUAACGCGUGGGAACGUGCCCUUUGCUUCGGAAUAGCCCUGGGAAACUGGGAGUAAUACCGGAUACGCUCUCUCGGGGAAAGAUUUAUCGGCGAAGGAUCGGCCCGCGUCGGAUUAGGUUGUUGGGGGGGUAAUGGCCUACCAAGCCGACGAUCCAUAGCUGGGUUGAGAGGAUGAUCAGCCACACUGGGACUGAGACACGGCCCAGACUCCUACGGGAGGCAGCAGUGGGGAAUCUUAGACAAUGGGGGAAACCCUGAUCUAGCCAUGCCGCGUGAGCGAUGAAGGCCUUAGGGUUGUAAAGCUCUUUCACCGGGGAAGAUAAUGACGGUACCCGGAGAAGAAGCCCCGGCUAACUCCGUG
rnacentral:rRNA from 1 species